UGGGGAAUAUUGCACAAUGGGCGAAAGCCUGAUGCAGCGACGCCGCGUGAGGGAUGACGGCCUUCGGGUUGUAAACCUCUUUCAGCAGGGACGAAGCGCAAGUGACGGUACCUGCAGAAGAAGCACCGGCUAACUACGUGCCAGCAGCCGCGGUAAUACGUAGGGUGCAAGCGUUGUCCGGAAUUACUGGGCGUAAAGAGUUCGUAGGCGGUUUGUCGCGUCGUUUGUGAAAACCAGCAGCUCAACUGCUGGCUUGCAGGCGAUACGGGCAGACUUGAGUACUGCAGGGGAGACUAGAAUUCCUGGUGUAGCGGUGAAAUGCGAAGAUAUCAGGAGGAACACCGGUGGCGAAGGCGGGUCUCUGGGCAGUAACUGACGCUGAGGAACGAAAGCGUGGGUAGCGAACAGG
rnacentral:rRNA from 1 species